UACGUAGGAUGCAAGCGUUGUCCGGAAUUAUUGGGCGUAAAGCGAACGUAGGCGGUUUCUUAAGAUUGGUCUUAAAGACCGGGGCUCAACCCCGGGAAUGGAUCGAUAACUGGGAGACUGGAGGACGUCAGAGGAAAGUGGAAUUCCGGGUGUAGCGGUGGAAUGCGUAGAGAUCCGGAAGAACACCGGUGGCGAAGGCGGUCUGCUGGGCAGUUGCUGACGCUGAUGCGCGACAGCGUGGGGAGCAAACGAGGG
rnacentral:rRNA from 1 species